UGGAGCGGAGCGGCAGGCCGCGGCCCGGGGACGCAUCCCGCAUUUUUUACCUACUUUGGUGCGAUUCCCGCCACCCUCCCCUGAUUGGCCGAGCCCGGCACUUCGGGCCCUCGCGUGAGGGGAAAAAUCUGCACAUUUUUCCUCCUUCCCGAGGCGACCGUGGCCGUUCAGAGUGUUCUGUGAGUCACCGCUAAUUUCAGAAUUCUGCCUCUCCCACAGCUACUGUAGGAUGUGAAAACCUCAGAACUGGCAAAGUGCCCAUGCCCCGAAGCCACUAGGUAUCCUCUGCAAGCCCAGGUAGAUGGAAAUCCUAAGGACAUAUGUAUGAGUCUGCAAAUAAAGAUAGAGGUAAAGAAUGAGACAUAAGAGGAAUCCAAGAAAGAAAAACAGCAAGCUGAAUCCAGUCAAGAAGAAGAAACAGCACAAGACAUUAAAAUGAGCACAGUUAACUAUUCUCAGAAAGAUGGUGUCUUGCUGUGUUGCCUAGACUGGACUUGAACUC